rnacentral:rRNA from 1 species
UACGUAGGGUGCAAGCGUUAUCCGGAUUUACUGGGUGUAAAGGGCGAGUAGACGGCGAUGCAAGUCAGAUGUGAAAUGCUAGGGCUUAACCUUAGAACUGCAUCUGAAACUGUAUUGCUAGAGUGCAGGAGAGGUAAACGGAAUUCCUAGUGUAGCGGUGAAAUGCGUAGAUAUUAGGAGGAACAUCAGUGGCGAAGGCGGUUUACUGGACUGUAACUGACGUUGAGGCGCGAAAGCGUGGGGAGCAAACAGG